rfam:Ochotona princeps cont2.55295, whole genome shotgun sequence.
CUAGGAGAACCGAAAACAGCUCUAGACAGACCUGCGGUUUUAUAGCAGUUUUGGCAGUCAACUUCAGCUUGUGCCUGAGCAGACUGGCCGCGGUGGCCCGCCAGCGGGGGAUGCCGGCAGCCUCCCCCAGCCCCUCUCUUAAUUAGAUCGGUGCACCAGACAGAGGGGGUCCCCGCAGGAAAA